CAGGGAACAACUCGGGGAGCCUGGUUGGAAGCUGCAGGCUUAGUUUGUCGGCUGCGGGUCUCUGACUGCCCUGUGGGGAGGGUCUUGCCUUAACAUCCCUUGCAUUUGACUGCAAAGAAAUCUGCUUGGAAGAAGGGGUUACGCUGUUUGGCCGGGCAGAAACUCCGCUGAGCAGAACUUGCCGCCAGAAUGCUCCUCCUGUUGCUGAGUAUCAUCGUCCUCCACGUCGCGGUGCUGGUGCUGCUGUUCGUCUCCACGAUCGUCAGCGUGAGUGCCUGGCGGGGAGGCUCCCUGCGCGGCCCGCCCUUCCCCAUCUGGGUUCCCAGCCCGUGCUCCUUCUGGUUCAGGACUGUGUUAUUUGCAGACAGUUGGAAAUCUCAGACGUCCCGGGGAAGUUUCUGGCAAUCUGCCCCCUUCCAGUUGCUUUGAGAAAACGAGAGCAGAUUCAGUGAUAGGAACCAAGCGAGCGCUGGGCUGGUUAGCUGCGCAGGUCUCUAUUUAAGCCAAGUAACUUCAGAGCCGAUCUAGGGUCCCCGACCUUCAUUUGAUAAGAUUGUUUAACUUUUUUUUUUCUUGAUGCAGCCUCGUUGAAGAAGAGGAGUAUUUAUGAUUUUUUUUUCUCCAAACCAUAGUCAG
rnacentral:sRNA from 1 species